GCACAAGUAAAGAAGUAUUUAUUACAUGGGUCCAAGGUUAUCUCCAAAACCCAUAGGAGCAUGAAGUAAAAGUGAAAUUCAUGCAGAACCAUGAUCAGAUACUUAGAAAGCAAUUAAUAAAUACCUGUUGAUCUCAAUGGAAUGAACACUCAAUUAACUGGAAUUGAUAACUGCACUGGGAGCCGAGAUAACCCCCCCAGCCCUCAAGGAGCCAUUUGAGCUCUCAUUUCUGAUUCUCCCUGAAUAUUAGCUUCAUUCUUCUGCCCUGUUUGCUUGUCUCUUUGCCCACCACCUCGAAUUGGCCACUGAUAUUUCUAAAUCUGAUUGUGACCUUAAGAGCUCCACCAACUGACAACUUUCUUAGCCUCUCCAUUAAAGAAAGUUCUCGAGCAAAAGAAUCUGAUUGGCUCAGCUUAAGUCAGGUGACAACCACUAAUCCAAUCGGUAGUCAUCUGCCAAAAGAGGAAGCAUAAGUAGACUGGCAAGUCAAAUGUAUUUACCCCAAGAUGGGAGCUCAAGUUAGCCCUGGGUGGGGGAGAUAGAAGUCCCACUGCCACCACUCCCCACCUUACCUAGACACAGACCAACAACACUGAGUGUUAACUAUUCCUUUAUUAGGUGGUGAGGGGAGUGGGGGGCUGUACAAUGCUGGGCCAGAGGAUUACCAGGAAGAGAAA
rnacentral:lncRNA from 1 species